rnacentral:rRNA from 1 species
CCUUACGGGUACGGGGAUUAGGGUUCGAUUCCGGAGAGGGAGCCUGAGAAACGGCUACCACAUCCAAGGAAGGCAGCAGGCGCGCAAAUUACCCAAUCCCAACACGGGGAGGUAGUGACAAUAAAUAACAAUAUGGGGCCCUUACGGGUUUCGUAAUUGGAAUGAGUACAAUUUAAAUCUCUUAACGAGGAACAAUUGGAGGGCAAGUCUGGUGCCAGCAGCCGCGGUAAUUCCAGCUCCAAUAGCGUAUAUUAAAGUUGUUGCAGUUAAAAAGCUCGUAGUUGAAUUUCGGGAUUUGNCAGUUGGUCGGGCUUNACUGUCCGUAUUGACUNGAUGGAUUCUUACCUUCUGAAUAACCAGCAUGCUAUUAANUUAGUGCGUUGGGGAAGCAGAUCUAUUACCUUGAAAAAAUUANAGUGCUUAAAGCGAGCUAGUGCUUGAAUANAUUANCAUGGAAUAAUAAAAUAGGACGGCAUGGUUCUAUUUUGUUGGUUUCUAGGAUCACCGUAAUGAUUAAUAGGGAUAGUUGGGGGCAUUAGUAUUCAAUUGUCANANGUGAAAUUCUUGGAUUUAUUGAAGACUAACUUCUGCGAAAGCAUUUGCCAAGGAUGUUUUCAUUAAUCAAGAACGAAAGUUAGGGGAUCGAAGACGAUCANAUACCGUCGUAGUCUUAACCAUAAACUAUGCCGACUAGGAAUCGGACGAUGUUAAUUUUAUAAUGACUCGUUCGGCACCUUACGGGGAAACCAAAGUGUUUNGGGUUNC